rnacentral:rRNA from 1 species
UGGGGAAUAUUGGACAAUGGGGGAAACCCUGAUCCAGCCAUGCCGCGUGUGUGAAGAAGGUCUUCGGAUUGUAAAGCACUUUAAGUUGGGAGGAAGGGCGUCAAGCUAAUACCUUGAUGUUUUGACGUUACCAACAGAAUAAGCACCGGCUAACUCUGUGCCAGCAGCCGCGGUAAUACAGAGGGUGCAAGCGUUAAUCGGAAUUACUGGGCGUAAAGCGCGCGUAGGUGGUUCAGUAAGAUGGGUGUGAAAUCCCCGGGCUCAACCUGGGAACUGCUUUCAUAACUGCUGAGCUAGAGUACGGUAGAGGGUAGUGGAAUUUCCUGUGUAGCGGUGAAAUGCGUAGAUAUAGGAAGGAACACCAGUGGCGAAGGCGACUACCUGGACUGAUACUGACACUGAGGUGCGAAAGCGUGGGGAGCAAACAGGA